ensembl:lncRNA
UUAUUAUUAUUAUUAUUAUUAUUACACACUGCGGUGAGGGAAGAACAGUCAGUGGAUUUGGGAGAUGAAGAUUUAUGGAGUAUUUCUUCAGUUUUAACUCUCUGGACAUUUUCUUGGUUAAUUCGGCGACAUGAACUCCAGUGGAUUAUCAGACCAAGAGAUCACAGCUCUCUCUUCCGUGUAUGUCUCCUGUCUCAGUUUAAGGCGAAGCCUCUGAUCCAGCUGGCUCUAGCGGACCUCCUGGCCUCUCUCUGCCUCGGCAUCACAGCUGUGAUGAACCUGCUGUGGUCUGGAGCGGUGAGGAACAGUGAGGUGGUGUGCAGCGCAGGAUUAGCUCUGUCUCUGGUGAGGAAUCACAUCAUGUGAGAAUGAAAAACUGCAAUGAGGCUCAUAAAACAGUCAUAAACACACACACACACA